UACGGGGGGAGCAAGCGUUGUUCGGAUUUACUGGGCGUAAAGGGCGCGUAGGCGGCCAGCACAAGUCAGUUGUGAAAUCUCCGGGCUUAACUCGGAAAGGUCAACUGAUACUGUGCGGCUAGAGUGCAGAAGGGGCAACUGGAAUUCUCGGUGUAGCGGUGAAAUGCGUAGAUAUCGAGAGGAACACCUGCGGCGAAGGCGGGUUGCUGGGCUGACACUGACGCUGAGGAGCGAAAGCAUGGGAAGCGAACAGG
rnacentral:rRNA from 1 species